UUGAGAGGAGCUGUCCUUAGUACGAGAGGACCGGGAUGGACGAAGCUCUGGUGUACCAGUUGUGCCGCCAGGUGCAAUGCUGGGUAGCGAUCUUCGGCAGGGAUAACCGCUGAAAGCAUCUAAGCGGGAAGCCCCCCUCAAGAUGAGAUCUCCCUGAAGACACCUUCGAGACUAGGAGGUAUAUAGGCUGGGUGUGGAAGUGCCGUGAGGCAUGGAGCU
rnacentral:rRNA from 1 species